rnacentral:tRNA from 1 species
UAUAGUAAGGUGUAAAGAGGCACAGAAAAUUUUGAUUUUUCGAGACAAGUUUAAAUCUUGAUACUGUAA